rnacentral:rRNA from 1 species
UGGGGGAUAUUGCACAAUGGGGGAAACCCUGAUGCAGCGACGCCGCGUGAGGGAAGAAGGUUUUCGGAUUGUAAACCUCUGUCUUCGGUGACGAAAAUGACGGUAGCCGAGGAGGAAGCCACGGCUAACUACGUGCCAGCAGCCGCGGUAAUACGUAGGUGGCAAGCGUUGUCCGGAAUUACUGGGUGUAAAGGGAGCGUAGGCGGGAGAGCAAGUUGAAUGUGAAAACUAUGGGCUCAACUCAUAGUUGCGUUCAAAACUGCUUUUCUUGAGUGGAGUAGAGGUAAGCGGAAUUCCUAGUGUAGCGGUGAAAUGCGUAAAUAUUAGGAGGAACACCAGUGGCGAAGGCGGCUUACUGGGCUUUAACUGACGCUGAGGCUCGAAAGCGUGGGUAGCAAACAGG